UCCCCUAUUUGUUUUUUUCCGAAACUAAUCGUCACGUAAGUGAGCACGGCAUGGCACAAAAUGGAUUCGUUCGUCAAAAGCAUCAGACUUUUAAAUCGCCAUCUGAUACUGUUUGGAAUUUAAAUUACAUCAGUACCGUGCUGCAAAAGUCUUUCUCAACCAUACCUUGUCCAGCCGAAAAAGAAGAAUUGUGGGAUAGAAUUAUACACUACAUUGGACUAGGUUAUUCUGUCAAGAAAAUUUCCCAGAUCACUUCGAUACACUUGUUUACAUACCUACUGCCAGAGAAAAUUUGAGUUAACUCCUGUUGUUGUAUACUUACAGGCUGGAUUUUCAGCUCGUGGCUUGCCCACUGAUAGGCCGCCCUGGAGCAACAUAACCGGGUUCCAUACUUACAGUAAAGAAAAUAUUUGUAGAUUCCAUUUGUAUCCAAAGAGGAAUAACUGCAUCUUGACCUGUCGGCACUGGAUGGGAGUUUGUAAUUGGGGGUGGUUAGAGUUUUGUCUGCAAUCGCGGACAUGACAUUCCAUUUUAACAAAUGCGAGUUUCGUGUUCAUUUGCAUGUGUCAAUCAAGAGAACAGCCGUGUUCAGAUUACUUUAUAAAUUAUCUAAAUGUUCUUUUUUUUUAUAAAUCCGACAUUAAGAAAUCUCAACGAUAUUCUCGCAUUUUGUAGGCGAAUACAAAGUUGCCAAUU